UCAUCAGUGUAGUGCUGAUGAGCAGGAUGAAAGUAACCACUAUUAAUAACUAUUAAUAGUGGUUACUUUCAUCCUGCUCAUCAGCACUACAC
rnacentral:miRNA from 1 species